rnacentral:rRNA from 1 species
AUUGAACGCUGGCGACAUGCCUUACACAUGCAAGUCGAACGGCAGCACGGGUGCUUGCACCUGGUGGCGAGUGGCGAACGGGUGAGUAAUACAUCGGAACGUACCUUAUCGUGGGGGAUAACGCAGCGAAAGCUGUGCUAAUACCGCAUACGCCCUGAGGGGGAAAGCGGGGGAUCGCAAGACCUCGCGCGAUUAGAGCGGCGGAUGCCUGAUUAGCUUGUGGGUGGGGUAAAAGCCCACCAAGGCGACGAUCAGUAGCUGGUCUGAGAGGACGAUCAGCCACACUGGGCAUGAGACACGGACAAGACUCUUACGGGAGGGAGAAGGGGGGAAUUUUGGACAAUGGGGGCAACCCUGAUCCAGCAAUGCCGCGUGAGUGAAGAAGGCCUUCGGGUUGUAAAGCUCUUUUGUCAGGGAAGAAACACCGGCUCUAACACAGUCCGGGAAUGACGGUACCUGAAGAAUAAGCACCGGCUAACUACGUGCCAGCCGCCGCAGUAACAC